CCCAGUUUAAAUAAUCAAUUUAAAUGACUGUGGUAUUACAUUUAUUUUUUACAGAACACAUAUACACAAAGUGGCUGGCUGGUAUUUCAUUGUAACAUAAUAGGGUCAUGUGAAAACAUGCAUUCGCAACUAGCUUAUAUCUUGUUUGCAAUAACAAAUGUUUUAAAUAAUGGAUUCACUUUUUUUAGAGCAAUGUAUCAUUG